GAUGAACGCUAGCGGCAGGCUUAACACAUGCAAGUCGAGGGGCAGCGCGGGGCGGCAACGUCCUGGCGGCGACCGGCGGAAGGGUGCGUAACGCGUGAGCGACAUGCCCGAUGCCCGGGGACAACCGGUGGAAACGCCGACUAAUCCCCGAUGGGACGGAGGCCCUCAUGGGUCUCUGUUGAAAGUUACGGCGGCGACGGAUUGGCUCGCGUCCGAUUAGCUUGUUGGCGGGGUAACGGCCCACCAAGGCUACGAUCGGUAGGGGUUCUGAGAGGAAGGUCCCCCACAAUGGAACUGAGACACGGUCCAUACUCCUACGGGAGGCAGCAGUGAGGAAUAUUGGUCAAUGGGCGGAAGCCUGAACCAGCCAUGCCGCGUGCGGGAAGGAGGCCCUAUGGGCUGUGAACCGCUUUUGCCUGGGGGCAAUAAGGGCGUCGCGCACGUCCGAUGAGAGUACCAGGGGAAUAAGCAUCGGCUAACUCCGUGCCAGCAGCCGCGGUAAUACGGGGGAUGCGAGCGUUAUCCGGAUUCAUUGGGUUUAAAGGGUGCGUAGGCUGUGCGUCAAGACAGGGGUGAAAUUCCGGGGCUCAACUCCGGGGCUGCCCUUGAUACUGUCGCGCUGGA
rnacentral:rRNA from 1 species